rnacentral:ncRNA from 2 species
CUUUCCGCCAGCGCCGAUUUGAGUCCCGCUUGCGGGCGCGUAACAAAUACCGCUAAAGAGGAAGACGUGGCCAUCGG